UAUGAACCUUUCUUGAGUCUUCUUUGUCUUCUCGGAGCUCACAGCCAGCCAUGGAAAGGCUGAGCCAGCUUGGAUCCACCGGAUCUGAGGAUCACCCCCAAGCUCCCCCUCGGUUUCCAACUUCCUGGUCGUUACCUGCACGCACUCAUGGCUGGGGCGGUGCUUGGUUUGGAUCCCCGUGUGCCUCAUCGAUCUCCCGGGCCGGUCAAUGGGAGUAGGGCCCUAACAGCAGCCGCGUGAUGGAGGAUGCGAGCUCGUCGAACUCGCGGUUCCUUUCCAGUCUGCGUCCAUGGAGGCGAUGAAGUAGUGGAUCUCGUUCCCCUUAGCUCCUGCGCGAUUUUGGGAAUCUUGGGGGUGUUGUCCGUCCCCAAGCGCCAAGCCGGAGGCGUCAAUGCUGUUCCCAAGCGAGCAGCCUACGCAUCGUAUUCAUCCUCAACUGCCGCAUCCCGGCUUCGGCAUUGCAUUCUUCCACUUACAGGAAUGAUUAUGCGGAUCAGGCAUGUUACGGAUUUACAUAACCAAGUGAGUACACCUCCUUUUUGAUUCUAUUGUCAUUAUAAACAAAUGCCUCCUUUAUCAAUUCCUUUUGAUACUAAAAAAAGUCUAAGUACAUAUUAGAACAGAAGAUGUAAUAUCAAUAGAAUUUGCACACAUUUAUAUUAAGAUGAGCACGACUAAACAUUCAUAGUCUUCAAAGUGGAUUUGUCUGCAUGCACACAUAAUAAGUUAAAUCCAUGUUCUCAUGGACUCUAAAGUAAACGCAAUUGUAUGCCAAUGCAAAUUACUACUCUCCGUUCACAAAUAUAAGAUGUUUCGGAUAUUUCAAUAUGCACUACAUACAGACUGAAAUGAGUGAACAAACAUACUAAAACAUGUCUAUAUACAUCCAAUUCACAAAAAAAUUGGAACAUCUUAUAUUUUUGAACAAAGGGAGUACGAAGUAUAUAGAGUAUCUAGAAUAUAUUUGUAUAAGUACAACCAGGGGAUUAAGUUGUUGUUUAGCACUUGCUACUGCCUUGUUCUAGCUUGUGUUCCUUCCAGGUGCUUUCCUAAUCCUCUUGUCUUCUGUCGAUUCUUUUCUCCUAUUUUUGCAUUUCAUCCCUUUUUUGGUUUUUCAUGUAGAUUUUUAGUCCUAUUCGUUCACUAAAAUUUGAAUGUCAGUAACAUAAUUUCCCUGCUAGGCUAGCUUUAAUAGAAAAAUAAUUGUGUUCAGAGAUGCAUAUGGGGCAUUGUAGCAUCAAGGUGCUAGUGCAUUUCCGUUCGAACAUUUAAAAAUAUGUUCUUAAAUGAGAGUACCUCGUCAUUGAUACCGCCAAUGCUAAAAUGGUCAUGAUUUUCGUCCUGUCCUGCCUGUAAGGUAAGAUACUAUACCUUAUAGUUUGGAAUAUAAAAUAGUACAUUUGUUUUUCUUAAAUUAGAAAUGUAAAGUUUUGACAUGUGUAAAGUGUUCUUUCAGCUACUCUUUUAAAUUUGGUGUCGGUACGAAUUUUACCAUGUGUGAAGUUUCUUCAUAGUCUUUAUUUGAAUCAUCUUCUAAGUACAUGCGGACAUACUUUCUUUUCGAAAAUAUUUGCCUGCAUUUUUUGGAAAUUCGUAAAAUAACAACAAUUAUUUAACACAUGUAGAGAUGAGAAGUGAAAUACCUGAUCAUUGAGAAGUUUGUUCUCUGUAACCUUUUUUUGCUUCAUUCAUGACUUUUGUUCCUUGGAUUUCCAGUAUGCUUUAUAAAGAAAAUACUUGCAUUAUACUUUUGGUUAGCUAUUUUUACUAGUUUUCCAAUAUGGAUCCUGCUGGAGGUGGCUUGAUUUCGUGCAGAAGAUGGUAGCUGCUGGAGGUGGUGUUGUCGCUAGACGGAACUAAUGAUGUAGGUUGUGUCAUUGCUGGCUGGAGUUGAUCGGGCAAUCCUCAAUAUUAUGUACAAUGUUCUACAAACACAAUAGUGGUAAAUGGAAGUAAAAGUAAGUGGCUUGCCGAAUUGAGCUUAAACCUGUUAGUUGGGCAUAUUUUGGCAACGCAAAUAUAAACUUAUAUAUGUGCUAUUAAUUAGAGCAAAGGGGAUUCAUGAAAAGGACGGGUGCAUAUGAACCUCUAGGUGUGCUACAGAGUAUUAUUAUCAAUUAAAGAACAUACCAGUUCUUGGAAAAAAGAGGCAUGCAUGCAAAGGUUUUAGAGGAUCGAUCUAAUACCUGACUCGGCUUGGGUUCCCGUUGCAUAGCGCAAUGGCAAUUCCGAUGAAGAUGGUGCCCGCGCUAGGACAUCCCAGUUCUUUUUUACUGACCCGUCAGGUCUAACACUUCUGGCUGCUUGUCAGGUCCAACAUCCGCGUCAAGCAGCCGCGCGUCGUUGCGAUGGGAGAAGUCGGUUUUCAGUCCAUCAUGAAGUACGUAUGCGUCCAGGUCGGCGCUUUGUGGGCAGACCUUUAAAAUUCAGGACAUCUUGGAGGAGAACGGCAGGGUUCUUUCCAGGAAGCUUGGGUGUGUCGGCGUAGCAGGAGUACCUGAGUGAAUCUUGAAGGAGAUCUUUCUUUUUGGUAAACUAUCUGUGCCGAAGAUAGCUCCCUAUGUAUUUGAUACAAUGGAUGUAAAUCUUUUACUAUGUAGAUGUCCAUCGGUACUCUAAUCUAUUAGUAAUGAAACAAUAGUUUCUUACUA